rnacentral:lncRNA from 1 species
ACGGCCGCUAAUAGCGAGAAUUUUCGUUUUCUCUCUCCCCACGACUGCGCGCGUCAGGUUUCGCAGGAGACUGACAGGAAAGUUAGACCCUUCCACGUUUCUGCCUCUUCCAGCAGACACUCACCUCUCCGGAGAAUGCAAACUACACAGCUGCCAUUUUCUCUAUGCUAAUAUCAUUCAAAACGUUCAUUUUCUCAUGAACCAUCUUUCUAGCUACACUACUAUACUGUCCAUCUCAUACUUUCUCUCCUUCGGCACAUUUACUCCGUCUGUCAAUUGCAAGUUAUUGAUGUAUUGUUGCUCACUAUGUAACUAUUUAUCCAGUUCUUUGUCUUCUUCUAAUUGUUUUAUGCUAUAACUUUUGAUUGUUUUACAAUUUUACCUUUUUUUGUUCUUGUUCUUCUGUGCACCAACACUCAGACCUCAGUGUCACUCCUGGUCACAUUGAAUAAAUUACUGACUGAUACUGAA